rnacentral:rRNA from 1 species
UGGGGAAUAUUGCACAAUGGGCGCAAGCCUGAUGCAGCGACGCCGCGUGCGGGAUGGAGGCCUUCGGGUUGUAAACCGCUUUUGUUUGGGAGCAAGCCCUUCGGGGUGAGUGUACCUUUCGAAUAAGCACCGGCUAACUACGUGCCAGCAGCCGCGGUAAUACGUAGGGUGCGAGCGUUAUCCGGAUUUAUUGGGCGUAAAGGGCUCGUAGGCGGUUCGUCGCGUCCGGUGUGAAAGUCCAUCGCCUAACGGUGGAUCUGCGCCGGGUACGGGCGGGCUGGAGUGCGGUAGGGGAGACUGGAAUUCCCGGUGUAACGGUGGAAUGUGUAGAUAUCGGGAAGAACACCAAUGGCGAAGGCAGGUCUCUGGGCCGUUACUGACGCUGAGGAGCGAAAGCGUGGGGAGCGAACAGGA